rnacentral:rRNA from 1 species
UACGGAGGGUGCGAGCGUUGUCCGGAAUCACUGGGCGUAAAGGGCGCGUAGGUGGCGGGUCAAGCGUGCGGUGAAAGCUUGGGGCUUAACCCCGAGUCGGCCGUGCGAACUGGCUUGCUUGAGCACUGUAGAGGCAGAUGGAAUUCCGGGUGUAGCGGUGGAAUGCGUAGAGAUCCGGAAGAACACCGGUGGCGAAGGCGGUCUGCUGGGCAGUUGCUGACACUGAUGCGCGAAAGCGUGGGGAGCAAACAGG